rnacentral:rRNA from 1 species
UACGAAGGGGGCUAGCGUUGCUCGGAAUCACUGGGCGUAAAGCGCACGUAGGCGGCUUUUUAAGUCAGAGGUGAAAUCCUGGAGCUCAACUCCAGAACUGCCUUUGAUACUGAGGAUCUUGAGUUCGGGAGAGGUGAGUGGAACUGCGAGUGUAGAGGUGAAAUUCGUAGAUAUUCGCAAGAACACCAGUGGCGAAGGCGGCUCACUGGCCCGAUACCGACGCUGAGGCACGAAAGCGUGGGGAGCAAACAGG